rnacentral:rRNA from 2 species
AAGAUGACGUAUACGGUGUGACGCCUGCCCGGUGCCGGAAGGUUAAUUGAUGGGGUUAGUGGUAACACGAAGCUCUUGAUCGAAGCCCCGGUAAACGGCGGCCGUAACUAUAACGGUCCUAAGGUAGCGAAAUUCCUUGUCGGGUAAGUUCCGACCUGCACGAAUGGCGUAAUGAUGGCCACGCUGUCUCCACCCGAGACUCAGUGAAAUUGAAAUCGCUGUGAAGAUGCAGUGUACCCGCGGCUAGACGGAAAGACCCCGUGAACCUUUACUACAGCUUGGCACUGAACAUUGACCCUACAUGUGUAGGAUAGGUGGGAGACUUUGAAGCGCAGUCGCUAGAUUGCGUGGAGUCGACCUUGAAAUACCACCCUUGUAGUGUUGAUGUUCUAACUUAGACCCGUUAUCCGGGUUGAGGACAGUGCCUGGUGGGUAGUUUGACUGGGGCGGUCUCCUCCCAAAGAGUAACGGAGGAGCACGAAGGUGGGCUAAUCACGGUUGGACAUCGUGAGGUUAGUGCAAUGGCAUAAGCCCGCUUAACUGCGAGAAUGACGGUUCGAGCAGGUGCGAAAGCAGGUCAUAGUGAUCCGGUGGUUCUGAAUGGAAGGGCCAUCGCUCAACGGAUAAAAGGUACUCCGGGGAUAACAGGCUGAUACCGCCCAAGAGUUCAUAUCGACGGCGGUGUUUGGCACCUCGAUGUCGGCUCAUCACAUCCUGGGGCUGAAGUCGGUCCCAAGGGUAUGGCUGUUCGCCAUUUAAAGUGGUACGCGAGCUGGGUUUAGAACGUCGUGAGACAGUUCGGUCCCUAUCUGCCGUGGGCGUUGGAGAAUUGAAGGGGGCUGCUCCUAGUACGAGAGGACCGGAGUGGACGAACCUCUGGUGUUCGGGUUGUCACGCCAGUGGCAUUGCCCGGUAGCUAAGUUCGGAAUUGAUAAGCGCUGAAAGCAUCUAAGCGCGAAGCGAGCCCUGAGAUGAGUUCUCCCUGGCAGUUUAACUGUCCUAAAGGGUUGUUCGAGACUAGAACGUUGAUAGGCAGGGUGUGUAAGCGUUGUGAGGCGUUGAGCUAACCUGUACUAAUAGCCCGUGAGGCUUAACCAUACAACACCGAAGAGGUUU